rfam:Cicer arietinum chromosome Ca1, whole genome shotgun sequence.
AAAGUUAAAUAUAGCCGAAAGAUGACCUGCCGACAGAGAAUUUCCAACAAAUGUUUAGUGGCAAAUAAAUAUGUGCCGCCGGCAAGUCAUCCUUGGCUCCAUUUCACUUUCA